AAAUGAGGCCUAUAGAAGAGAACAAGCAGCUCAUUUAAUUGCUAUAUCUGAAGUGGAGAAACGGGAAGAGAAUUUAAGGAAGGCGCUUGGAGUCGAGAAGCAAUUUGCACGAGAGCUAGAGAAAGAGUUGCGUGAGAUGCGCUUGGAGUAUGCGGAGAUCAAAUAUACUGCUGAUUCAAAAUUGGCAGAGGCAAAUGCUCUGGCUACUAGUGUUGAAGAGAAAUCAUUAGAGGUAGAAGCAAAGUUGCGUGCAGCUGACGCCAAGCUUGCUGAGGUGAACAGAAGGAGCUCUGAAGUUGAGAGGAAGCUUAAUGAAGUCUAUGCCCAAGAAAAUUCACUUCGAAGAG
rnacentral:misc_RNA from 1 species